AGAGAGUUAGUCUAACAAAGACAGUUGAUUUCGGCUCAACAAAUCAUAGCUCUACCCUAUGACCCUCUU
rnacentral:tRNA from 1 species